rnacentral:rRNA from 1 species
UACGAAGGGGGCUAGCGUUGUUCGGAAUUACUGGGCGUAAAGCGCGUGUAGGCGGGUCUUUAAGUCAGGGGGGAAAUGCCAAGGCUCAACCUUGGAACUGCCUUUGAUACUGGAGAUCUUGAGUCCGGGAGAGGUGAGUGGAAUUGCGAGUGUAGAGGUGAAAUUCGUAGAUAUUCGCAAGAACACCAGUGGCGAAGGCGGCUCACUGGCCCGGAACUGACGCUGAGACGCGAAAGCGUGGGGAGCAAACAGG